rfam:Camelus ferus unplaced genomic scaffold scaffold1013, whole genome shotgun sequence.
GAGGGAAUAGCUCAAGUGGCAGAGUGCAUGCUUAGCAUACACAAGGUCCUGGGUUCAAUCCCCAGUACCCCCU